GCGUUGGUGGUUCAGUGGUAGAAUUCUCGCCUGCCACGCGGGAGACCGUGGUUCGAUUCCCCGCCAACGCA
rnacentral:tRNA from 1 species